AUUGAACGCUGGCGGCAGGCCUAACACAUGCAAGUCGAACGAGUGGCGGACGGGUGAGUAAUGUCUGGGCACCUGCCUGAUGGAGGGGGCUAACUACUGGAAACGGUAGCUAAUACCGCAUACCAUCGGAUGUGCCCCGGUGGGAUUAGCUAGUAGGUGGGGUAAAGGGUCCCCUAGGCGACGAUCCCUAGCUGGGCUGAGAGGAUGACCAGACACACUGGAACGGAGCCACGGUCCAGACUCCUACGGGAGGAAGCAGUGGGGAAUAUUGCACAAUGGGCGCAAGCCUGAUGCAGCCAGGCCGCGUGUGUGAAGAAGGCCUUCGGGUUGUAAAGCACUUUCAGCGAGGAGGCGUUACUCGCAGAGGAAGCACCGGCUAACUCCGUGCCAGCAGCCGCGGUAAUAC
rnacentral:rRNA from 1 species